rnacentral:rRNA from 1 species
GAGUUUGAUCUUGGCUCAGAUUGAACGCUGGCGGCAGGCCUAACACAUGCAAGUCGAGCGGUAGAGAGAAGCUUGCUUCUCUUGAGAGCGGCGGACGGGUGAGUAAUGCCUAGGAAUCUGCCUGGUAGUGGGGGAUAACGCUCGGAAACGGACGCUAAUACCGCAUACGUCCUACGGGAGAAAGCAGGGGACCUUCGGGCCUUGCGCUAUCAGAUGAGCCUAGGUCGGAUUAGCUAGUUGGUGAGGUAAUGGCUCACCAAGGCGACGAUCCGUAACUGGUCUGAGAGGAUGAUCAGUCACACUGGAACUGAGACACGGUCCAGACUCCUACGGAGGCAGCAGUGGGGAAUAUUGGACAAUGGGCGAAAGCCUGAUCCAGCCAUGCCGCGUGUGUGAAGAAGGUCUUCGGAUUGUAAAGCACUUUAAGUUGGGAGGAAGGGCAGUAAAAUUAAUACUUUAGCUGUUUUGACGUUACCGACAGAAUAAGCACCGGCUAACUCUGUGCCAG